UACGUAGGGUGCAAGCGUUGUCCGGAAUUAUUGGGCGUAAAGAGCUCGUAGGCGGCUUGUCGCGUCGGCUGUGAAAACCUGGGGCUCAACCCCGGGCCUGCAGCCGAUACGGGCAAGCUAGAAUUCGGUAGGGGAGACUGGAAUUCCAGGUGUAGCGGUGAAAUGCGUAGAUAUCUGGAGGAACACCGGUGGCGAAGGCGGCAUCCUGGACCAAUUCUGACGCUGAGUGAGCGAAAGCCAGGGGAGCAAACGGG
rnacentral:rRNA from 1 species